rnacentral:rRNA from 1 species
AACGAACGCUGGCGGCAGGCCUAACACAUGCAAGUCGAACGAUCCUUCGGGAUAGUGGCAGACGGGUGAGUAACGCGUGGGAACCUUCCCUGUGGUACGGAAUAGCUCCGGGAAACUGGAAUUAAUACCGUAUACGCCCUUUGGGGGAAAGAUUUAUCGCCAUAGGAUGGGCCCGCGUUGGAUUAGCUAGUUGGUGAGGUAACGGCUCACCAAGGCGACGAUCCAUAGCUGGUCUUAGAGGAUGAUCAGCCACACUGGGACUGAGACACGGCCCAGACUCCUACGGGAGGCAGCAGUGGGGAAUAUUGGACAAUGGGCGCAAGCCUGAUCCAGCCAUGCCGCGUGAGUGACGAAGGCCUUAGGGUUGUAAAGCUCUUUUGGCGGGGACGAUAAUGACGGUACCCGCAGAAUAAGCCCCGGCUAACUUCGUG